UGGAAGUUAUGGGACUUUGAAAGAGAGGUAAAUGUUAAAAACAGUAUGGAUACAAAUUCUACGUUUUUGUCCGGUUACUGAGUAGACUGGGAGUUUUGUACAAAAAAUAGUCAUCAGAAGAUGAUUCUGAGGUUUCUAACAUGAAAAUAUAUGAUUUCAUUUACCCAAGAUGUAGAACAAAUGUGAAAAGCACUGGGGAUUGAACCCAGGCCCAAGGCCUUCCAGUCCUUGUUAAAUUUUGAAAUAGGGUUUGAAUUGCCCAGGCUGGCUUCAGAUUUACUAUUCCUCCUCCUACCCCCCGAGUGCUGGGAUCACAGGCUUGCAGGGCCGUACUGGAACGUCCUAGGCAUUCUCUUACUUUCCCAUUCACACUUCAGUCCUUGACUUUGACUGCGAAGACUGAAAGACUGUCUUUCACUUCAACGAUAUUUCCUGUAUAGCCUUAUAGUUCCUCAUCAUUAUUUAACUUCUUUUAAUACUUAGUACUUUGUACUGAAGAUGUCUUACUUAUUAUUGCCUCACCCAUUAGGAUCUUUCUUUUUUUGGUACUGGGGAUUGAACUCGGGACCUUGCACUUGCAAGGCCAGCGCUGGAACCACUAAAGCUAAAUCCCCAGCCCACAUUAGGAUUUCUUGAGGACUAGGACGGUGUGGCUAACAGUUUAUGACUGCUACUUAAUAACUCAAGCACAUUUCCUCUUUUUCAACUAAAAAGACACUUAACACAAAAAAAUAAUGUGUGAGCCAAGCCUGGUGGCCAACGCCUGUAAUCUCAGCACUGGGGAGGCUGAGGCAGGAGGAUCCCUGUGAGUUCGAGGCCAGCCUUGGCUACAUAGUGAAUUCAGUGCCAGCCUGAACCACCCAGUAUCAAAGCCUCAGUUUUAAAGAACUAAACCCUCCAAGAGAACAGACAAAUGUUAGGAGUUCUAGAAAGAAAAUGGAACACCAUGGUGGCUGAUAGAAAUGGAUUGAACUCGGGACCUUGCGCUUGCGAGGCAGGCGGCAGAACCACUGAGCUAAAUCCCCAGCCCUUGUAACAACUAAUAUUAUUGAAAGAAAGUUACAUUAUCUUCAUUCGAUGAACAUUGGAAACGACAAUUUCUACAUGUGUGAAGGAUAUAUUGAAGGCUUGUGGUUUACAGACAAGAUCUUUAGAAAUUAGACACUCAAGGACCAGGUAAAUAAAUACCAGAAACCAAGAAUACUUUUCUUCAUCAGUCCGCACAACCCUCACCCUUCUGUAAUUCCAUCAAACACAGAGAAAUGACCACCUUGGCAAAUGGCCACAGAGGAUGUCAACCAUUUUUUGGAGGCAACUAGCUGAACCACUGAGCUAAAUCCCCGGCCCAAAAAAGUGCCAUAGUUUUCAGAGAAGAAGAUUGGAUUAAAAAACUUGAGUUUAGGAAAGGUGAGUUCAAGACAUUUGAAGAAUUUGAUAGUUAAGUUUUAAAAAGACAGUCACUUGAAGUUGGAACGUUGGGCAGUCAUUAUUACUUUCUGCAAGUAUUCUUCUGAGUUUUUUUUUUUUAAGCAACUCUGCUAGUGGGGAACUAAGG
ensembl:lncRNA